AAAGAAACUAACAAGGAUUCCCCUAGUAACGGCGAGUGAACAGGGAAGAGCUCAAAUUUGUAAUCUGGCGUCCCUUGGGCGUCCGAGUUGUAAUCUAUAGAAGCGUUUUCCGUGCUGGACCAUGUCCAAGUCCCUUGGAACAGGGUAUCAAAGAGGGUGAUAAUCCCGUGCUUGACAUGACAACCAGUGCUAUGUGAUACGCUCUCUACGAGUCGAGUUGUUUGGGAAUGCAGCUCAAAAUGGGUGGUGAGUUCCAUCUAAAGCUAAAUAUUGGCGAGAGACCGAUAGCGAACAAGUACCGUGAGGGAAAGAUGAAAAGCACUUUGGAAAGAGAGUUAAACAGUACGUGAAAUUGUUGAAAGGGAAACGAUUGAAGUCAGUCGUGUCCGAGGGGUUCAGCCGGUCCUGCCGGUGUAUUCCCCUCGGACGGGUCAACAUCAGUUUGGACCGACGGAAAAGGGCAGUUGGAAGGUGGCAGCUCCGGCUGUGUUAUAGCCUUCUGUCACAUACGUCGGUCUGGACUGAGGAAUGCAGCUCGCCUUUAUGGCUGGGGUUCUCCCACAU
rnacentral:rRNA from 1 species